AGUCAAGUAAUUAAGUGCAUGUGGUGGAUGCCUUGGCAGUCAGAGGCGAUGAAAGACGUGAUAGCCUGCGAAAAGCUCCGGGGAGGCGGCAAAUAUCCUUUGAUCCGGAGAUGUCUGAAUGGGGGAACCCACCUACUUUAAGGUAGGUAUUGCAACAUGAAUACAUAGUGUUGCAAGGCGAACGAGGGGAAGUGAAACAUCUCAGUACCCUUAGGAAAAGAAAUCAAUUGAGAUUCCCUCAGUAGCGGCGAGCGAACGGGGAUCAGCCCAUUAAGUUAUGUGUGUUUUAGUGGAACGCUCUGGGAAGUGCGAACGUAGAGGGUGAUAUUCCCGUACACGAAAGGGCACACAUAAUGAUGACGAGUAGGGCGAGGCACGUGAAACCUUGUCUGAAUAUGGGGGGACCAUCCUCCAAGGCUAAAUACUCCUGACUGACCGAUAGUGAACCAGUACCGUGAGGGAAAGGCGAAAAGAACCCCUGUGAGGGGAGUGAAAUAGAUCCUGAAACCGCAUGCAUA
rnacentral:rRNA from 1 species